rnacentral:tRNA from 1 species
CGCGGGGAAGAGUAACGGUUGCUCGCAAGGCUCAUAACCUUGAGGUAGUGGGUCCAAUUCCCACCCCCGCAA